AUUGAACGCUGGCGGCAUGCCUUACACAUGCAAGUCGAACGGCAGCACGGGAGCAAUCCUGGUGGCGAGUGGCGAACGGGUGAGUAAUAUAUCGGAACGUGCCCAGUCGUGGGGGAUAACGCAGCGAAAGCUGUGCUAAUACCGCAUACGAUCUAUGGAUGAAAGCGGGGGAUCGCAAGACCUCGCGCGAUAGGAGCGGCCGAUAUCAGAUUAGCUAGUUGGUGAGGUAAAGGCUCACCAAGGCGACGAUCUGUAGCUGGUCUGAGAGGACGACCAGUCACACUGGAACUGAGACACGGUCCAGACUCCUACGGGAGGCAGCAGUGGGGAAUUUUGGACAAUGGGCGAAAGCCUGAUCCAGCAAUGCCGCGUGCAGGAUGAAGGCCUUCGGGUUGUAAACUGCUUUUGUACGGAACGAAACGGUGAGCUCUAAUACAGUUUGCUAAUGACGGUACCGUAAGAAUAAGCACCGGCUAACUACGUGCCAGCCGCCGCGGUAA
rnacentral:rRNA from 1 species